UCAUUUCUUACGAUAAUAAAAAAUUAAAUAUCAAAAGACAAAUGAACGAUAAAAUUGUUUACCUCAUCCAUGCACUUUAAAUUGGAUUUAAAAGAAGGAGAAAAGUGGGAAAAAAUUGCACUUUUUGUCAGACGUUAGACCCUAUUGAGAACGGGAUAUUUUUCUGUCUGAGCGGCGCUGGGAAUAGGACGGACGGAAAGCUUUUCUGAGAGGCCAACUGGAGUGCCUUCACCGGUCUGGAAGGAAUUCAGAGGGGAUCGCUCCUCUGGGCAGAAGUAAUGUUUCUGGAACGUUCUUUCUGGAAUACCUCCAGAGCAGUAAUUGUGUUAAGUUGUGUAUGUAUGAAUUGUUCUCUGUGACUCGCUGCCAUACCCUCCAUUGUCUUUCUCAGCUGGAUCCGUUCUAACAACAACAUGGAGGAUUCCAACCUCGAGAUAAACACUGAUGUUCUGAAUCUGAGAAGUUAAGGGGGGGAUUCAGGAGGGAGGGGAAGUGGGAUCUGUGUUUUUGCUCUGUUCUGGUCUUGUUUUUUCCCAGAUUGGGCUGUUUUGUUGCCCUAAGGACAUUGAGCAUUUUCUCAGAAUGUCUUUGAUCUAAAGAGGUGCAUUGCUACCCCUUGUCCUCCCAAACCAACAUCUCACCCCUCCUAAAACAUUUUAUUUGGAUCAUCUUUCAUCAGCGCCUCUGGAUUACAGCCCGCCCCCCUGGGUCUGAUUAUUGCUUUUUGUUCUUUGACAGACAGCUGUUUGGACCAGUUGGAUUCUUACUGUGUAUUUGUUUCCUGAACGUAAAAAUGAGAGCAAAGGAGUAUGGGAUUUAUUUGAGCACAACUGUGCACAACUGCGGAGAGAUGGAUAUGUAACAAAAAACAAUGACAACGACAUCAAAAUAAACAAGAGAAAACAUGUUGGACAUUAUUCAAUCAUCGAUCACCACGCUGCCCCCGUCUAUCAUCAACAGGAUUCCUCCCUCUCUCCCCAUGACCAGAAUCCCUCCUCUUCUCCUUGGAGUCUCCUCCAACUCCAAGAUGAGAAAUCCAUCUCUCCAUGUCUGGCACAUCUCGUUGUUCGCCGUCGCUGCGUUUUUCAGAACGGACAAACAGACUAGCGCUCCAUGACCACCACCAACAGCUUACAGAAACGAUAGGAAUGAUUCAGCAACACUUAAAAAACAUACAAAUAAUGUAAUAUAAACUAGAUCCGCCUCCAGCAGAUGAUGUAGUUGUUUUAUGAAUUUUGAAGUUGACUCUCCUUUGUGUUUUUGGGUAGCAUGUAAAGUGAGUGUAUGGUAACAGAGAUCAUGUGGUAGUGUGAUGAGUGUGCACCAUGUGUGUUUGAGUGAGUGAGUGAAAGACUGUGUGUGUGUGUGUGUGUGUGUGUGUGUGUGUGUGUGUGUGUGUGUGUGUGUGUGUGUGUGUGUGUGUGUGUGUGUGUGUGUGUGUGUGUGUGUGUGUGUGUGUGUGUGUGUGUGUGUGUGUCUGUAUGACUGUCUAUGAUGUCUUCAAAGUACUAUCGAUAGUUGUCUGUUUUUAUGCCAGAUUUGUUUUUGGAAUUUCAUUAAUUGCUUAGUAACUACAAAAACAAUGUAAAGUGUGCCACUACUCGAGCUUUGUCAAUCCUCUUCAGCAACAGCAGUUAAAGAGGUUUGCAGUUUU
ensembl:lncRNA